AGGUUCUCGGAGCGCUUCGCCGCAGUCUUCGCGCAAUGUUCAUGACUUUCCCGACUAUCCAGAGACGAGAACCUUCCGGCGAGCAGUGCCUGCUACACGACGUCCAAGCACAAAGCCAAGUUCCGGACCAGGUUCGGAAUGAACAUCAACAAGCAGGAGUGAACCUCCAAAAGCGACCUGGCUGCUAAACAGCGCACUACAGACAAGGACACCAGAGUGCGAGAACAAGAGCGCAUACGCUGAUCGACACGGCGAAGACACGCAGUUCAUCGCAGCCGUGACAGAUGGCGCCACCAUUCCGUGGGAGUCGAAUUCACGUGUUUCGAGUGACGUCACCGCAGAGGACACCUGCUUCAGAUUUACUGUGGACCUAACCGGAGGGUUCUCGAACCAUGGAGUCCCGGCGCCACCAGAAGUCCUCCUAGCCAGCUGAAGCAGGUGCAUGGAGUUGGAUCCUCGAGCCGGUCCCGGCGCCACCAAACCAUCGAGGUAGG
rnacentral:lncRNA from 1 species